ensembl:lncRNA
GUUGCCAUUAGAGUCAGGUCUACUCCCUCCCAAUCUGGUUGCUUUUUGAGUCAGUCCCAGGUCUAGUCCUUCCCAAUCUGAUUGCAAUUAGAGCCCAGUCAGUCUCAGGUCGAGUCCUUCCCAAUCUGGUUGCCAUUAGAGCCCAGUCAGUCUCAGGUCGAGUCCUUCCCAAUCUGGUUGCCAUUAGAGCCCAGUCAGUCUCAGGUCAAAUCCUUCGUAAUCUCGUUGCCAUUAGAGCCCAGUCAGUCUCAGGUCUAGUCCCUCCCAGUCAGUCUCAGGUCAGUCUCCCCAGUCAGUCUCAGGUCGAGUCCCUCCCAGUCAGUCUCAGGUCAUGUCCCUCCCAGUCAGUCUCAGGUCGAGUCCCUGCCAGUCAGUCUCAGGUCGAGUCCCUCCCAGUCAGUCUCAGCUCGAGUCCAUACCAGUCAGUCUCAGAUCGACUCCGUACCAGUCAGUCUCAGGUCAAGUCCCUCCCAGUCAGUCUCAGGUCAAGUCCCUCCCAGUCAGUCUCAGGUCAUGUCCCUCCCAGUCAGUCUCAGCUCGAGUCCCUCCCAGUCAGUCUCAGCUCGAGUCCCUCCCAGUCAGUCAGUUAUGAUCCUUCUUUUCCU